AUUGAACGCUGGCGGCAUGCUUUACACAUGCAAGUCGAACGGCAGCGCGGGCUUCGGCCUGGCGGCGAGUGGCGAACGGGUGAGUAAUGCAUCGGAACGUGCCCAGUAGUGGGGGAUAGCCCGGCGAAAGCCGGAUUAAUACCGCAUACGACCUGCGGGUGAAAGCGGGGGACCGAAAGGCCUCGCGCUAUUGGAGCGGCCGAUGUCGGAUUAGCUAGUUGGUGGGGUAAAGGCUUACCAAGGCGACGAUCCGUAGCUGGUCUGAGAGGACGACCAGCCACACUGGGACUGAGACACGGCACAGACUCCUACGGGAGGCAGCAGUGGGGAAUUUUGGAAAAUGGGGGCAACCCUGAUCCAGCCAUGCCGCGUGCGAGAAGAGGGCCUUCGGGUUGUAAACCGCUUUUGUUCGGGAAGAAAUCCUCUGGGCUAAUACCCCGGGGGAUGACGGUACCGGAAGAAUAAGCACCGGCUAACUACGUG
rnacentral:rRNA from 1 species